rnacentral:rRNA from 1 species
CCAAACUGUUGCCUCGGCGGGAUCUCUGCCCCGGGUGCGUCGCAGCCCCGGACCAAGGCGCCCGCCGGAGGACCAACCAAAACUCUUUUUGUAUACCCCCUCGCGGGUUUUUUAUAAUCUGAGCCUUCUCGGCGCCUCUCGUAGGCGUUUCGAAAAUGAAUCAAAACUUUCAACAACGGAUCUCUUGGUUCUGGCAUCGAUGAAGAACGCAGCGAAAUGCGAUAAGUAAUGUGAAUUGCAGAAUUCAGUGAAUCAUCGAAUCUUUGAACGCACAUUGCGCCCGCCAGUAUUCUGGCGGGCAUGCCUGUCCGAGCGUCAUUUCAACCCUCGAACCCCUCCGGGGGGUCGGCGUUGGGGAUCGGCCCUCCCUUAGCGGGUGGCCGUCUCCGAAAUACAGUGGCGGUCUCGCCGCAGCCUCUCCUGCGCAGUAGUUUGCACACUCGCAUCGGGAGCGCGGCGCGUCCACAGCCGUUAAACACCCAACUUCUGAAAUGUUGACCUCGGAUCAGGUAGGAAUACCCGCUGAACUUAAGCAUAUCAAUAAGCGGGAGGAA